GUAGGCAGCGAGCGUUGUUCGGAGUUACUGGGCGUAAAGGGUGUGUAGGCGGUUCUUUAAGUUUGGUGUGAAAUCUCCCGGCUCAACCGGGAGGGUGCGCCGAAUACUGAGGGACUUGGAGUGCGGGAGAGGAAAGUGGAAUUCCUGGUGUAGCGGUGAAAUGCGUAGAUAUCAGGAGGAACACCGGUGGUGUAGACGGCUCUCUGGACAGUAACUGACGCUGAGACACGAAAGCGUGGGUAGCAAACAGGAUUAGAUACCCUGGUAGUCCACGCCCUAAACGAUGCAUAUUUGGUGUGGGCCAUUCAUUUGGUCUGUGCCGGAGCUAACGCGUUAAAUAUGCCGCCUGGGGAGUACAGUCGCAAGGCUG
rnacentral:rRNA from 1 species